rnacentral:lncRNA from 1 species
CGGAGCUGUAGCACAGCCGGAACUAUAACAUUGCCACUUCAAUAAAGCUGUUUUCUUUUAUUCUACCACUGGCUUGCCCCUGAAUUCCUUCCUGGGCAAAGCCAAGAACCCUUGCGGGCUAAGCCCCACCUCGGGGCUCGCUUGUCCUGCAUCACUACCACCUUCUCUAGGAAGAUGCUCUAGGCUUAAUCAUUGUGUUGAAUUCAGCUGCUGAGGACUGAGAGGUGAUUUGGAUGAUUGACUUCAUAAAUAAAAUUGGGAGUUAGACUUUCCCCGCUGUGGACUUGCCACUGAGUUUGGGGAGAGGGGGGUUUCUUUCUCUGAUAAAGUUCCACAUCCACAGACAGAAGGAAAAGGCCCUGAACUAAUCACUUCCUUUGGAAGAAGCUUUGGUAAAGAAUUAACAUUUGGGAGGUUGUCAAGAAAAACCUAUUUGUUCUAUAAAUAUUUAAAAAUUAUUAAAAUUUCAACCAAUACAGAAAAACACAAAGAUUAAUAUAACCAACAUGUGCCCAUCAUCAGGAUUCAGUAAAUGUUUACAGUUU